rnacentral:rRNA from 1 species
UACGUAGGGUGCGAGCGUUAAUCGGAAUUACUGGGCGUAAAGCGUGCGCAGGCGGUUUUGUAAGCCAGAUGUGAAAUCCCCGGGCUUAACCUGGGAAUGGCAUUUGGGACUGCAAGGCUUGAGUGCGGCAGAGGAGAGUGGAAUUCCCGGUGUAGCGGUGAAAUGCGCAGAUAUCGGGAAGAACACCCGUGGCGAAGGCGGCUCUCUGGGACGGUACUGACGCUGAGACGCGAAAGCGUGGGGAGCGAACAGG